UGCCAGCCGCCGCGGUAACACGGGGGGCUAGCGUUGUUCGGAAUUACUGGGCGUAAAGCGCGCGUAGGCGGGCUGGUCAGUUGGGGGUGAAAUCCCGAGGCUUAACCUCGGAACUGCCUUCAAUACUGUCAGUCUUGAGAUCGGAAGAGGUGAGUGGAAUUCCUAGUGUAGAGGUGAAAUCCGUAGAUAUUAGGAAGAACACCAGUGGCGAAGGCGGCUCACUGGUCCGAUACUGACGCUGAGGUGCGAAAGCGUGGGGAGCGAACAGGAUUAGAUA
rnacentral:rRNA from 1 species